GACAGAGGGGGCAAGCGUUGCUCGGAAUUACUGGGCGUAAAGGGCGCGUAGGCGGGCUGGCAAGUCGGUCGUGAAAUCCCUCGGCUCAACCGAGGAACGUCGAUCGAUACUGCUGUUCUUGAGGAUUGCAGAGGAGACUGGAAUUCCCGGUGUAGCGGUGAAAUGUGUAGAGAUCGGGAGGAACACCGGUGGCGAAGGCGGGUCUCUGGGCAAUUCCUGACGCUGAGGCACGAAAGCCAGGGGAGCAAACGGG
rnacentral:rRNA from 1 species